rnacentral:rRNA from 1 species
CCUACGGGAGGCAGCAGUAAGGAAUAUUGCCCAAUGGACGCAAGUCUGAGGCAGCAACGCCGCGUGCCCGAAGAAGGUCUUCGGAUUGUAAAGGGCUUUUCUGUGGGAAGAGAAAAAGGACAGUACCGCAGGAAUAAGUGUCGGCUAACUACGUGCCAGCAGCCGCGGUAAU